GUAGGUAUAGUUUAACCAAAAUAUUAGAUUGUGAUUCUAAAGACAGAGGUUAAAAUCCUCUUACUCACC
rnacentral:tRNA from 5 species